GUGCUCGCUUUGGCAGCAUAUAAACUAAAAUUGGAAUGAUACAGAGAUUACCAUGGUCCCUGCACAAGGAUGACAGAUUUGUGAAGCGUUCCAUAUUAAA
ensembl:snRNA U6 U6 spliceosomal RNA